UAGGGAAUCUUCGGCAAUGGACGAAAGUCUGACCGAGCAACGCCGCGCGAGUGAAGAAGGUUUUCGGAUCGUAAAACUCUGUUGUUAGAGAAGAACAAGGACGUUAGUAACUGAACGUCCCCUGACGGUAUCUAACCAGAAAGCCACGGCUAACUACGUGCCAGCAGCCGCGGUAAUACGUAGGUGGCAAGCGUUGUCCGGAUUUAUUGGGCGUAAAGCGAGCGCAGGCGGUUUCUUAAGUCUGAUGUGAAAGCCCCCGGCUCAACCGGGGAGGGUCAUUGGAAACUGGGAGGCUUGAGUGCAGAAGAGGAGAGUGGAAUUCCAUGUGUAGCGGUGAAAUGCGUAGAUAUAUGGAGGAACGCCAGUGGCGAGGGCGGCUCUCUGGUCUGUAACUGACGCUGAGGCUCGAAAGCGUGGGGAGCAAGCAGG
rnacentral:rRNA from 1 species